AACAUUUCCUUUCCCCUCUCUUCUCCUAGAGAACCAGGCAUUAGCAACAUCAAAUCAUCUGCAGAGCACUCAAACUAAAAGGAGAACAUUAUGGGUUCUGUUCUUAUACAUGUUGAAAUUUUACUUGAAGUGAGUCUGAAACUGAGUGACAUCUUUGCUGCUAGUGAACAGGUUGAAAAUAGAAGACAAGAUCCAAUCAGACAGACUAAUUAGGGUACCCAGUCAGGAUGGAGUCUUGAAUAUUCACUGCACAUUUUUUGGAAACACAGUACUGUGCAAAUCCUUGCAGACUGAUUGAUACCAUCUGCCAGCCAAUCAUCCUUAGUGAUCGGUGAAAACAACUAAAACAAUUAGAAAUCUAACAUCUAUAACAGUUUCAGGAACUGCUUAAUUUAAAAGAAAAUCAACUCUUAUAAAUGAUCUUGCAGCCACAACCAUGCAAUGUUUUGAUUGGAAGAGUGAACAUCAUAGCAGUAUUUUGCAUAAUCAUUUGCUUCAGUAUUGCAAGGGGAAUAUGCCUUUGGAGCUCAGAUCGCAGAGGCUGAGCAGUAAUGGGGAAUGGUAGAGGACAGCUAUGAGAACAGAAGAAAAACACUUCUCCUGGAAUGAAAUCUCCUCUGGGUGUUUUAGUCAUAAAAAAUUUAAAGGAACACCAAUUUCCUAGGUGUGCUGCCAACUAGGAGGCCCUGUUGGUGUGUUGCAGCCAUACAGUGGGCUUUUGGGGGAAACCCUUUUACAUGUACCUUUUUGCUGCUCAAAUUCUUCAUUUCCAGCAUCUGGGAAGGCAGAAGAGCGUGUACUAUUUCUGAAUUCAAAUGCUGGUAUCAGCAACCCACUAAACAGACAGCACCGUUUUCUCAUUUGUAAGAGGUCAUUCUUUUACACCAUUGCCUCAAAGCUUGCUGAGGGACACAGGUGAACAAGUUCAAUCUAGUCCUGACCAAGGAUUGGGAAAUCCUUUGUCUGAAGGGACAACAGAUGGACAAGGCCAGGGGCAACCAGAGAGAGAUAAGUGGCAGCUAAAUGGCCAGGAAACAGUCUUUUGUGUGGACUUAUCUCAAGGGAGACAGCCAUCUCGGGGUGCACACAUGACCCUUACCCAAGCGCCCAGAAAUGUCACGUAGGCAGGGAAGAAGGAGGAUAAAAGAGGGUCCAACAACCAUGAAGGCAGGUUUUCUGACAACAGAUUCCUCAUGACCUGCCUCUCCCUCCUGGACUUGCUCUGUGCUCUACCUGCUUGCUGCCUAAGGAUGGCCCCUCUGCUGCUGCUGCUCUCCCCCUCCCCCCCAAGAAGGUGUCUGCCAUCAGAUCCCUCGCUACAGAAGGUCUGCAUGCUGAUGGAUUCUCCAGGGCCUGCUACCGGAGACCUGCUGCCUCCACCCGGACUUCUUCCUGGACCUACUUGGUACCUGCACCUUCUUGCUGCCCAAGACCGGCCACACUGCUGCUGCUCUUCCCCUGUGCUUUUGCCCCAGACCGUCGGAACAUCGUGCAACGGGACUACUGCCAGAUCCUGGUGGUGACUAUCCCCGCUUUAUGCAAUUCUUGCUUCUUCCUAUCUUUUCUCUCUCUUGCCUUCCCUUCCCCAUCACCCCAAUCCGUAAUAGUGUCCGUUCUCCCCUUCCUUCAUCUCCCUUAUUAACAUUUGUAAUAAACUAGUCAGAC
ensembl:lncRNA